rnacentral:sRNA from 1 species
UGCAAAGGUUAUUGGAUCUGAUGGAUA